rnacentral:lncRNA from 1 species
UCAGAUUCCAAACAUUGCCCUGCUAUGAAGUACCUGCCACCACCUGGCAGAGGUUCCAGGAUUGAAGGGGGAGAAACUCAAAGAAGCAGUGUAGAAUCAGUGUUCACCUACAUGCAAGCAGGAGCCCAGCUUCUCUGCACAGUGUUGCUGAUCAAACCUGGUGCCUGGGCACGUAACCUUGCCAGGAUCUUUCGAAAGCUAGAUUUAGAAAAAUUCAGCUUCGUUGGGAUGAAGAAUGUGACCCUGAAACCAGACAUCAUCUUAGGACUUCUCUCACCUGAAGCUAAGCAGGAUCCAGCAAUCUUGGAAGCUUCUUGCAACUACCUCACCUCAGGCUCCUCCCUUGUGUUGUGCCUUCAGAGACAGAAUGCUGUGAAGAAGCUACUUGACUUAUUGGGGCCAGAGGAUCCUCACCUGGCCAGAGCACAAAAUCCAUUCCUUUGGAGGGCUCAGUAUGGCACCAGCUUAAUCCAAAAUGGAUUUUACGGGUCUGUAUCCUACCAAAUGGCUGUCCAGGAUAUGAAACUGUUUUUUCCAGAAGGCCUGUGUUGUGCUAAGUGCCAGGUAUUAGAAGAAGAUCAGAUCUGGGACAUCAAAUGUGACCCAGUACUCGCUCUGGAAAUCAACAAGCAGCGCAAAAUUGUAAAAUGUGAAGUGAGAAGGCAACUCAAUAUUUUGGGCUCUGAGCAGCUGCCUGGGUUAGACCUGCCACUUCUGGGUACACUCUGCCAAACCACUUGCCUGAUAUUUCCCAAGAUAAUCCUUCAGGGUUCGGAGCACCCACCUUAUAUUGAACUACUAGACCAGCUGAUCGGCCAAGGUUUCACAGUGACAGGGUUACGACUCACCGUAUUCAACAAAUCCCAGGCUCAUCUUGUCUCUGAGAUACUGAGCAUGGCAAA